rnacentral:rRNA from 1 species
GGGUCUGUCCAUCGGUCGGGCUCCACGGUCCGUACUGGUGAGAUGGGUUCCUACCUUCUGAAUAACCGGCAUGCCAUUCAGUUGGUGCGCCGGGGAAGCAGAGCUAUUACCUUGAAAAAAUUAGAGUGCUUAGAGCAGGCUAGUGCUUGAAUAGAUUAGCAUGGAAUAAUAAAAUAGGACGGCAUGGUUCUAUUUUGUUGGUUUCUAGGAUCACCGUA